UACGGAGGGUGCAAGCGUUAUCCGGAUUUACUGGGUUUAAAGGGUGCGUAGGUGGGUUGGUAAGUCAGUGGUGAAAUACUUUCGCUUAACGAAGGAACUGCCAUUGAUACUAUCAAUCUUGAAUGUAGUGGAGGUAGGCGGAAUGCGUCAUGUAGCGGUGAAAUGCUUAGAUAUGACGCAGAACACCAAUUGCGAAGGCAGCUCGCUACACUACUAU
rnacentral:rRNA from 1 species